rnacentral:rRNA from 1 species
AGUGAACGCUGGCGGUAGGCCUAACACAUGCAAGUCGAACGGCAGCACAGUAAGAGCUUGCUCUUACGGGUGGCGAGUGGCGGACGGGUGAGGAAUACAUCGGAAUCUACUUUUUCGUGGGGGAUAACGUAGGGAAACUUACGCUAAUACCGCAUACGACCUAUGGGUGAAAGCAGGGGAUCUUCGGACCUUGCGCGAUUGAAUGAGCCGAUGUCGGAUUAGCUAGUUGGCGGGGUAAAGGCCCACCAAGGCGACGAUCCGUAGCUGGUCUGAGAGGAUGAUCAGCCACACUGGAACUGAGACACGGUCCAGACUCCUACGGGAGGCAGCAGUGGGGAAUAUUGGACAAUGGGCGCAAGCCUGAUCCAGCCAUACCGCGUGGGUGAAGAAGGCCUUCGGGUUGUAAAGCCCUUUUGUUGGGAAAGAAAAGCAGCAGGUUAAUACCCCGCUGUUCUGACGGUACCCAAAGAAUAAGCACCGGCUAACCUCGUG